rnacentral:rRNA from 1 species
CUGGUUGAUCCUGCCAGUAGUCAUAUGCUUGUCUCAAAGAUUAAGCCAUGCAUGUCUAAGUACAUACUUUUGCACGGUGAAACCGCGAAUGGCUCAUUAAAUCAGUUAUGGUUCCUUAGAUCGUUCAUAUUACAUGGAUAACUGUGGUAAUUCUAGAGCUAAUACAUGCAAAAAGCUCCGACCGUAUGGGAAGAGCGCUUUUAUUAGACCAAAACCAAUGGGAUCGCAAGAUCCCUUUGUCUGGUGACUCUGGAUAACUUUGUGCUGAUCGCAUGGCCUCGAGCCGGCGACGUAUCUUUCAAGUGUCUGCCCUAUCAACUUUCGAUGGUAAGCGAUUUGCCUACCAUGGUUGUAACGGGUAACGGGGAAUCAGGGUUCGAUUCCGGAGAGGGAGCAUGAGAAAUGGCUACCACAUCUACGGAAGGCAGCAGGCGCGCAAAUUACCCACUCCUAGAACGGGGAGGUAGUGACGAAAAAUAACAAUACCGGACUCAAUGAGGCUCGGUAAUUGAAAUGAGUACAGUUUAAAACCCUUAACGAGGAUCUAUUGGAGGGCAAGUCUGGU